rnacentral:rRNA from 1 species
AGUGAACGCUGGCGGCAUGCCUAACACAUGCAAGUCGAACGGCAGCACAGUAGCUGCUUGCUCUUAGGGGUGGCGAGAGGCGGGAGGAAGACAUAUGAACAGGUCUCUACUUUGUCGUUGGGGCUACCGAAGGGGAACUAAUGCUACUACCGCUUACCACCUAAGAGUGAAAGCACGGCAUCUUCGGACCUUGCGCGAUUGCCUGAGCCGAUGUCGGAUUAGCUAGUUGGUGGGGUAAAGGCCCACCAAGGCGACGAUCUGUAGCUGGUCUGAGAGGAUGACCAGCCACACUGGAACUGAGACACGGUCCAGACUCCUACGGGAGGCAGCAGUGGGGAAUAUUGGACAAUGGGCGCAAGCCUGAUCCAGCCAUGCCGCGUGUGUGAAGAAGGCCUUCGGGCUGUAAAGCACUUUUGUUCGGAAAGAAAAGCUGGAGGUUAAUACCGCGGUGUGCUGACGGUACCGAAAGAAUAAGCACCGGCUAACUACGUG